rnacentral:rRNA from 1 species
GACGAACGCUGGCGGCGUGCUUAACACAUGCAAGUCGAACGAAGUGGGAACGGGUGAGUAAUACGUGAGUAACCUCCCUCCUUUUUGGGAUAAGCCUUGGAAACGGGGUCUAAACCGAAUAGAUGGGCUCGCGGCCUAUCCGCUUGUUGGUGGGGUGAUGGCCUACCAAGGCGGUGACGGGUAGCCGGCCUGAGAGGGGGACCGGCCAAAGUGGGACGGAGAGACGGCGCAGACGCCGACGGGAGGCAGCAGUAGGGAAUAUUCGGCAAUGGGGGGAACCCUGAACGAGCAACGCCGCGUGAGUGAGGAAGGUGUUCGGAUCGUAAAGCUCGGUUGUUAAGGAAGCGGUACUGAACCAGAAAGGGACGGCUAACUACGUGCCAGCCGCCGCGGUAAUAC